GCCCGGGUGGCGGAAUUGGUAGACGCGCUAGACUCAAAAUCUGGUUAUGGCAACAUAGUGGGGGUUCGAUUCCCUUCCCGGGUAC
rnacentral:tRNA from 1 species